GAUGAACGCUGGCGGCGUGCCUAAUACAUGCAAGUCGAGCGAACGGACGAGAAGCUUGCUUCUCUGAUGUUAGCGGCGGACGGGUGAGUAACACGUGGAUAACCUACCUAUAAGACUGGGAUAACUUCGGGAAACCGGAGCUAAUACCGGAUAAUAUUUUGAACCGCAUGGUUCAAAAGUGAAAGACGGUCUUGCUGUCACUUAUAGAUGGAUCCGCGCUGCAUUAGCUAGUUGGUAAGGUAACGGCUUACCAAGGCAACGAUGCAUAGCCGACCUGAUAGGGUGAUCGGCCACACUGGAACUGAGACACGGUCCAGACUCCUACGGGAGGCAGCAGUAGGGAAUCUUCCGCAAUGGGCGAAAGCCUGACGGAGCAACGCCGCGUGAGUGAUGAAGGUCUUCGGAUCGUAAAACUCUGUUAUUAGGGAAGAACAAAUGUGUAAGUAACUGUGCACAUCUUGACGGUACCUAAUCAGAAAGCCACGGCUAACUACGUG
rnacentral:rRNA from 1 species